UACGGAGGGAGCUAGCGUUGUUCGGAUAUACUGGGCGUAAAGCGCACGUAGGCGGCGCCGUAAGUCAGGGGUGAAAUCCCGGAGCUCAACUCCGGAACUGCCCUUGAAACUGCAGUGCUAGAAUCUUGGAGAGGCGAGUGGAAUUCCGAGUGUAGAGGUGAAAUUCGUAGAUAUUCGAAAGAACACCAGUGGCGAAGGCGACUCGCUGGACAAGUAUUGACGCUGAGGUGCGAAAGCGUGGGGAGCAAACAGG
rnacentral:rRNA from 1 species